CAGUGUUAGAUUUAGAAUAUAUGGAAGUUUAUGGAUCUAAAAGCAACACUUGUGCAACUUAUUUCCUAUUAUCAUAUAUAACCACAUAGGACAAGAGGGGUUUCUAUGAUGGUAAGCAACCCCCACUUCAACCGAGAGGUUGUGAGUUCGAGUCUCUCCAAGAGCAAGGUGGGAAAGUUCUUGGUCUAUUUGGAAACAGCCUCUCUACCCGAGGGUAGGGGUAAGGUCUGUGUACAUACUACCCUCCCCAGACCCCACUAAGUGGAAUUAUACUGGGUUGUUGCUGUUGUUGUAUAUAGAACCACACAGCUAUUUUUGUCUAUACUUCUUAAAUCAUGCUUCUCCCAAACACAAAACUAAUAUGGAAUUCUGUUUUAGUUAGAAAAUUUCGAACAAGUAUCAUUGGAGUUUGAAGUAAGCAAAUAUACAUUUCAUAGAAUAAAAAGCCUUGUAAACACUUACUAAGCGAAAGAGAAGAAUGUCUGAUAGUCUUUGGAUCCUGUCUUUCUUAUCAGAGUCUGUCAGAAUAUAACAAUAAUAACCAUCAUUGCUUAUUCCUUUCUUACCUGAUAUCAAUUGCUCAUGAAUGCAUUUCUGUUAUUUGAUAAAAAAAUUUGCAGUAAAAUGGCUAUCUUGAACCUGCAAUGUCAAUAUAUACAACGCUACCAACUCUUACAGGUGAAAAAUUUAUAGAAAAACUGCUAUCAUGUCAAUAUUAAAAAUAUCUCGAAAGGAAGGAAAAAGUAUAUAUGAUCGUUUCGAUCAAAUAGAGAUACCCGAUACAUAAAAUCUUUCAUAACUUCAUUAACAAAAUGUGAGAACACAAGCCUUAGGAAUACGGUAGAAGUAAUAAAUCAUGGAGCUUUACCCUAAAAUCGUAUGACUUCUAAGUUUAACGCCACAAAAAUUCAUACAAAAUAUGAAAACUUACUCAUAAGAAUGAAAAUUGAUCUUUUAUAAAUACCUAAUACGAGACUGGAAAAAGCAACAAUACAUAACUUAGAGGACGUCUAUUCCAUAUCGAAAAAAUCAGACUAUGAAGCAAAGGCAUGGCUCUAAAGACAACAUUUGCCACAUAUCUAAGUUUUUCUUCAUUAACACCAUUCAUUCAAGUCGAGAGCAGAUAUUUUAUACAAUUGAAAUACUAAAUUUUGGGUUGAAAGUUCUGUACAUGUUAACUCUUGUUACUUACGGCUAUAAAUCAACAUACGCGAGAGAAAACAAAUAAAAGCUAUUGUAACCGAAUCUAAUAUUGAGGAAUUAUCCGUAUUUAGAAACCGCAAUCAAUUCUAGGUACAAGAUCUUUCAUUUAUUUUCUGAAAAUUAUAGAGCUACAUCAAAAUUUAAAAUUGGAGUUUGGAUAUUUGGAAUUUUCUGACAUGUUAUUUUGAAUGGAAUUGCAAAUUGUCAUAAUGCAGUAAACCAAAAAAUUCCGAUCAAGUUAAAUUUGAAUCAAUAGAAGUACAUGCAUUCCGCAAUCAUUCAUAAACCCAAAAAAAAUUCUGGUGAACGCAACACUUGAGAUAAAAAAGAGGAAGGAGAGACGCAAAACAUGGAGAAACAAAGAGACGAGAGAAAGUUAACCUUUAUUUCCGAUGAAGAGCAUCUAAUUGUCUUUCCUUUCUGGCCUACUCUCUUCUCCCCCGUCACUUACUAUCUAACCACAAAAAUUCAAAUUAGAUUUAACAAGAAAAGAACACUUUAAAGUCAGACAAAAGAGCAUUAUACAUAUAGAUCAAGACAAAAAGAACAAGAUUUUACCCAAAUGUGGAAGAAGAAUUAACCAGCAAACUCAAAGUGUCUAAAAGAGAACCGAUAAAGAAAGAAGAGGAAGGAUGCGGUGGCUGCAAAAAUAAAA
rnacentral:lncRNA from 1 species